GCGCUGUUUUUCUUAAAGUUAAGUUUAAAAGCACCGCUUUGUGGCGACGUAGAGGUGCAGACAUGGUAACGUCACUGGCUAUGUCGCGAUGGCGUCCCGAUGAGUUAUAGCCUAAGGGCCUUGUCACACU